rnacentral:rRNA from 1 species
AGCCCGGAGAUGGACACUGAGACAAGGGUCCAGGCCCUAAGGGGCGCAGCAACCGCGAAACCUCCACAAUGCACUCACGUGCGAUGGGGCUAUCUCGAGUGCCACCUGAUGAAGGUGGCUUUUCCUUGGUCUUCAAAGCCGUGGGAAUAAGAGGGGGGCAAGACUGGUGUCAGCCGCCGCGGUAACACCAGCCCCUCGAGUGGUGGGGAUGAUUACUUGGCCUAAAGCGUCCGUAGCCGGCCGAGCAAGUCUUCCGUUAAAUCCAGCGUCUCAAGCGUUGGACCGCGGGAGAUACUACACGGCUAGAGAGUGGGAGAGGUCAGCGGUAUUCUGGGGGUAGGGGCGAAAUCCUUUGAUCCCCGGAGGACCACCAGUGGCGAAGGCUGCUGACUAGAACACGUCUGACGGUCAGGGACGAAAGCUGGGGUAGCGAACCGGAUUAGAUACCCGGGUAGUCCCAGCCGUAAACGAUGCAUGCUAGGUGUUGGGUUGGCCACGAGCCACCCCAGUGCCGCAGGGAAGCCGUUAAGCAUGCCGCCUGGGAAGUACGAUCGCAAGAUUGAAACUUAAAGGAAUUGGCGGGGGAGCACAAUCG